GGACAAGCGAAUAAGUGCACAUGGUGGAUGCCUUGGCGAUUACAGGCGAUGAAGGACGUAGUAGCUUGCGAUAAGCUGCGGGGAGCGAGCAAACACGCUGUGAUCCGCAGAUUUCCGAAUGGGGAAACCCGGCCCUUUGGGUCAUUGCAUACUGAAUACAUAGGUAUGCAAAGCGAACGCGGCGAACUGAAACAUCUAAGUAGCUGCAGGAAAAGAAAUCAACCGAGAUUCCCAAAGUAGUGGCGAGCGAAAUGGGAUGAGCCUGCACGUUUUAGCACGACGCAUAGAAGAAUCCUCUGGAAAUAGGAACCGUAGCGGGUGAUAGUCCCGUAUUCGAAAUGCGAUGUGUGGAACUAAGCGUGCGACAAGUAGG
rnacentral:rRNA from 1 species